UGCAGNCGACGCUUUGUGGUUCAACUGAUUUGAAGAGCUUGCUCAGAUAUGACGAUGGACAUUGCAAAGAGUGGCGAACGGGUGAGUAACACGUGGGAAACCUACCUCUUAGCAGGGGAUAACAUUUGGAAACAGAUGCUAAUACCGUAUAACAAUAGCAACCGCAUGGUUGCUACUUAAAAGAUGGUUCUGCUAUCACUAAGAGAUGGUCCCGCGGUGCAUUAGUUAGUUGGUGAGGUAAUGGCUCACCAAGACGAUGAUGCAUAGCCGAGUUGAGAGACUGAUCGGCCACAAUGGGACUGAGACACGGCCCAUACUCCUACGGGAGGCAGCAGUAGGGAAUCUUCCACAAUGGGCGAAAGCCUGAUGGAGCAACGCCGCGUGUGUGAUGAAGGGUUUCGGCUCGUAAAACACUGUUGUAAGAGAAGAAUGACAUUGAGAGUAACUGUUCAAUGUGUGACGGUAUCUUACCAGAAAGGAACGGCUAAAUACGUGCCAGCAGCCGCGGU
rnacentral:rRNA from 1 species